GACGAACGCUGGCGGCGUGCCUAAUACAUGCAAGUAGAACGCUGAAGAGAGGAGCUUACUCUUCUUGGAUGAGUUGCGAACGGGUGAGUAACGCGUAGGUAACCUGCCUUGUAGCGGGGGAUAACUAUUGGAAACGAUAGCUAAUACCGCAUAACAAUGGAUGACACAUGUCAUUUAUUUGAAAGGGGCAAUUGCUCCACUACAAGAUGGACCUGCGUUGUAUUAGCUAGUAGGUGAGGUAAUGGCUCACCUAGGCGACGAUACAUAGCCGACCUGAGAGGGUGAUCGGCCACACUGGGACUGAGACACGGCCCAGACUCCUACGGGAGGCAGCAGUAGGGAAUCGUCGGCAAUGGGGGCAACCCUGACCGAGAAACGCCGAGUGAGUGAAGAAGGUUUUCGGAUCGUAAAGCUCUGUUGUAAGUCAAGAACGGGUGUGAGAGUGGAAAGUUCACACUGUGACGGUAGCUUAACAGAAAGGGACGGCUAACUACGUG
rnacentral:rRNA from 1 species